AUGUUGAAAUGCCCUCCCAUGAAAGAUGGCGGCAGCCGUGCGACAGGAUUUGGCCCAGCUCAUGAAUUCGAGCGGCUCUCAUAAAGAUCUGGCGGGCAAGUAUCGUCAGAUCCUGGAAAAAGCCAUUCAGUUAUCUGGGGCAGAACAACUAGAAGCUUUGAAAGCUUUUGUGGAAUCAAUGGUAAAUGAGAAUGUCAGCCUCGUGAUCUCUCGCCAGUUGCUGACUGAUUUCUGCACCCAUCUCCCUAACCUGCCUGAUAGCACAGCCAAAGAAAUCUAUCAUUUCACCUUGGAAAAGAUCCAGCCUAGAGUCACUUCAUUUGAGGAACAGGUUGCUUCCAUAAGACAGCAUCUUGCAUCCAUAUAUGAAAAAGAAGAAGAUUGGAGAAAUGCAGCCCAAGUGUUGGUGGGAAUUCCUUUGGAAACAGGACAAAAACAGUACAAUGUUGAUUAUAAACUGGAGACCUAUCUGAAGAUUGCUCGGCUAUAUCUGGAGGAUGAUGAUCCAGUCCAGGCAGAGGCUUACAUAAAUCGGGCAUCGUUGCUCCAGAAUGAAUCAACCAAUGAACAGUUACAGAUACAUUAUAAGGUAUGCUAUGCACGUGUUCUUGAUUACAGAAGAAAAUUCAUUGAAGCUGCACAGAGGUACAAUGAACUCUCUUACAAGACAAUAGUGCAUGAAAGUGAAAGACUAGAGGCCUUAAAACAUGCUCUGCACUGUACCAUCUUAGCGUCAGCAGGACAGCAGCGUUCUCGGAUGCUAGCUACUCUUUUUAAGGAUGAAAGGUGCCAGCAGCUUGCUGCUUACGGAAUCCUAGAGAAAAUGUACCUAGAAUGGCACUACAAACUCAGGUUUGCAGCAAAAUAA